GCAGCCGUCGAAGGUGGGUUGAAUGAUUGGGGUGAAGUCGUAACAAGGUAGCCGUAUCGGAAGGUGCGGCUGGAUCACCUCCUUUCUAAGGA
rnacentral:rRNA from 1 species